GGUAUUUUGACUAUACAAAGGUAUUGAAAUAAGAUUUUAAUUGAAUGCUAAGAGAAUGGAAGUCCAGAAAAAAACUUUUUUUAAAUUAAAAAUUGAAGUUUUUUUAAUUUGUGCAGAAACAAUUAUUUAUAUUAAAGACAAGAAGACCCUAUGAAUUUAUUAAAUUUUUAUUUAAUAUGUAAUUACUAUUAGAAAAAUUUUGGCUGGGGCGGCUAGAAAAUAUUAUGAACUUUUUAAAAAUAAAAUGAUCCAUUAUUAAUGAUUUUAUGUUAAAUA
rnacentral:rRNA from 1 species